rnacentral:rRNA from 1 species
CACGUAGGGCGCAAGCGUUGUCCGGAAUUAUUGGGCGUAAAGGGCUCGUAGGCGGUUUGUCGCGUCGGGAGUGAAAACUCAGGGCUUAACCCUGAGCCUGCUUCCGAUACGGGCAGACUAGAGGUAUGCAGGGGAGAACGGAAUUCCUGGUGUAGCGGUGAAAUGCGCAGAUAUCAGGAGGAACACCGGUGGCGAAGGCGGUUCUCUGGGCAUUACCUGACGCUGAGGAGCGAAAGUGUGGGGAGCGAACAGG